GUGGAUGACAGACAGAUAGGUGGAGAAUGGAAGUUGUGGGUGGCUUACAAGCUGUGGAGGAUGAUUUUUAAAGUGUAUCUCCAUCUUCAUUGCCCAUAACAUUUGGUCCACAUGACAUAUCAUAGAACUUAGUAAUAACAUUUGACCACAUUCCACUUGGUCAAAGCAUUAACAGAAUAUUAUAUUUUUAAACUUUAGAAUCUUUGUUAAGUUACACAGACAUGCAUGAUGUAAAAAUCUUGCCUGAGUUUUAUGCAUAAUUUCCUAGUCAUGCUAUUGGAUCUUUUGUGAAUGCGUUGCAGGGUCAGAGCUGACCAAGGGGUAGAGAAUGUGGAAAUAGCCCAAUACAUGUUCACUGUCCGUGGAACAGAUCGAGGAAGCUUCAUCUCUGGAAAAAGUGUCCACAAUCAAAGGAUUGAACGGCUGUGGCGUGAUGUCAGAACCUGUGUGACCUCAAAAUACUACAGCCUACUACAAAACCUAGAGACUGAUCACCUUCUUGAUAUUUCCUCCAGGGAGGACCUAUUUGCAGUUCACAUGACCUUCCUUCCUAAACUGAAAGCAGACCUGGAGGCUUUUGUGGAAGGCUGGAACAACCAUCCAAUUAGGACGGAGCGUAAUCUAACUCCGGAGCAGCUCUGGCAUACCGGAAUGAUGCUUUACCCGAUGGAUCAGCCAGAGAAUCUUGAGGACAUUGAAGAGCCUGACAUCGACUG